AUGGUCCCUACCUCAGGGGGCUUUGGCCGAGGCUCUGCCCUCCCUACCGCUCUGGAUGCAGAGUGUCAGUGGGCUCGCUCGCCGGCAGCCAGCAGCCCCCACCUGCAGCGCCACAGCCCAGAGUCUGCGGAGCCACCUCCCCAGCCCACAGCCGGUGCCGCAGGAGCUGGAAAAGGACUUGGGGCGGUGUCUGCGGGACUCCAGCAUUCUCUGUGCGGACCGGGACUGGGGGUGUGGCGUUCUGGGAGCACCCAGCCAGAGACCACUGCCCCGUGCUUACCUGCAUGGCUAGCGGUUGCCGCCCGCACCGAGCGACGGACCGUGGGAGCCUGCAGAGGACUGUUGGGAACAACCACGUCCUACUGCCGGCAGGAAGGGAAGGAUCAGAUCAUAUUUGUGACCAAAGACCAUGAAACUCCUAGCAGUGCCGAGCUGGUGGCUGAUGACCCCAAUGAUCCCUAUGAGGAGCACACGUUGAUACUGCCUAACGGAGAUAUUAACUGGAAUUGCCCAUGUCUUGGGGGAAUGGCCAGUGGCCUCUGUGGGGAGCAGUUCAAGUCUGCCUUUUCCUGCUUCCACUACAGCACAGAGGAUAUCAAGGGAUCAGACUGUAUAGACCAGUUCCGGGCCAUGAAAGAGUGCAUGCAGAAAUACACGGACCUCUAUCCCCAAGAUGAGGAGGAGGAGCCGGUGGAGGAGACAGCUGACACCAAGGUCUCUGCAGCCAAAGAGCAGGGGGCAAGCUCUUGA